GCCGGGAUAGCUCAGCUGGGAGAGCGACAGACUGAAGAUUUCCGGGUAAAGGUGCUUUCUGGCGGUCGCGUGUUCAAUCCACGCUCCUGGCA